rnacentral:rRNA from 1 species
AUUGAACGCUGGCGGCAGGCCUAACACAUGCAAGUCGAGCGGAUGAAGGGAGCUUGCUCCUGGAUUCAGCGGCGGACGGGUGAGUAAUGCCUAGGAAUCUGCCUGGUAGUGGGGGAUAACGUCCGGAAACGGGCGCUAAUACCGCAUACGUCCUGAGGGAGCAAGUGGGGGAUCUUCGGACCUCACGCUAUCAGAUGAGCCUAGGUCGGAUUAGCUAGUUGGUGGGGUAAAGGCCUACCAAGGCGACGAUCCGUAACUGGUCUGAGAGGAUGAUCAGUCACACUGGAACUGAGACACGGUCCAGACUCCUACGGGAGGCAGCAGUGGGGAAUAUUGGCCAAUGGGCGAAAGCCUGAUCCAGCCAUGCCGCGUGUGUGAAGAAGGUCUUCGGAUUGUAAAGCACUUUAAGUUGGGAGGAAGGGCAGUAAGUUAAUACCUUGCUGUUUUGACGUUACCAACAGAAUAAGCACCGGCUAACUUCGUG